GAUGAACGCUGGCGGCGUGCUUAACACAUGCAAGUCGAACGGAAAGGCCCUGCUCUUGUGGGGGGCUAGAGGGGCGAACGGGUGAGAUACACGGGAGUAACCUGCCCUGGGCUGGGGAACAACGCCAGGAAACGAGGGCUAAUACAGGAGAGCAGCGCCUGAUGCAUGGGGGGGUUUGGACAUUUUCCGAGUUUGGGGCUGGACGCGCGGCUUAUCAGUUUGUUGGUGGGGUAGGGGCCUACGAAGGCUUUGACGGGUAGCCGGCCUGGGAGGGUGACCGGCCACCUUGGGACUGCGAUACGGCCCAGACUGGUACUGGGGACAGCAGUGGGAAAUAUUGCACAAUGGGCGGAAGCCUGAUGCAACGACGCCGCGUGCGGGAUGAAGGCUUUCGGGUUGUAAACCGCUCUCGCCUGUGACGACGCGUGGGUGACGGUACUGGGUAAAGAAGCACCGGCUAACUACGUG
rnacentral:rRNA from 1 species